AUACUCUGGUUUCUCUUCAGAUCUAAUAAAUCUUUCGCCUGUUGCUAAAGAUGUCCGUAGAGAGAAAUAACCAUGAGUUUCAUAUAAAUUUUUGAAGCAACAAAAAUAUAUAUAUGA